GGGACGCAAUGUUUACCUUUUUGAUCAAUGAAAGUCCAAGUCAUAUUUGCAGUUAAAACCUUUGGUUCCAUUUAUUUCCAUGAGAUCUUAUUGGGUUUCCAGACAAAUCACUGCUUGUAUGUAUGCCUGUGUAGUGUUGUGGUGUUGGUGUGCGUGUGUUC